GACGAACGCUGUUGGCGUGCUUAACACAUGCAAGUCGAACGGAAAGGCCCUGCUUUUGUGGGGUGCUCGAGUGGCGAACGGGUGAGUAACACGUGAGUAACCUGCCCUUGACUUUGGGAUAACUUCAGGAAACUGGGGCUAAUACCGGAUAGGAGCUCCUGCUGCAUGGUGGGGGUUGGAAAGUUUCGGCGGUUGGGGAUGGACUCGCGGCUUAUCAGCUUGUUGGUGGGGUAGUGGCUUACCAAGGCUUUGACGGGUAGCCGGCCUGAGAGGGUGACCGGCCACAUUGGGACUGAUAUACGGCCCAGACUCCUACGGGAGGCAGCAGUGGGGAAUAUUGCACAAUGGGCGGAAGCCUGAUGCAACAACGCCGCGUGCGGGAUGACGGCCUUCGGGUUGUAAACCGCUUUCGCCUGUGACGAAGCGUGAGUGACGGUAAUGGGUAAAGAAGCACCGGCUAACUACGUGCCAGCAGCCGCGGUGAUACGUAGGGUGCGAGCGUUGUCCGGAUUUAUUGGGCGUAAAGGGCUCGUAGGUGGUUGAUCGCGUCGGAAGUGUAAUCUUGGGGCUUAACCCUGAGCGUGCUUUCGAUACGGGUUGACUUGAGGAAGGUAGGGGAGAAUGGAAUUCCUGGUGGAGCGGUGGAAUGCGCAGAUAUCAGGAGGAACACCAGUGGCGAAGGCGGUUCUCUGGGCCUUUCCUGACGCUGAGGAGCGAAAGCGUGGGGAGCGAACAGGCUUAGAUACCCUGGUAGUCCACGCUGUAAACGGUGGGUACUAGGUGUGGGGUCCAUUCCACGGGUUCCGUGCCGUAGCUAACGCUUUAAGUACCCCGCCUGGGGAGUACGGCCGCAAGGCUAAAACUCAAAGGAAUUGACGGGGCCCCGCACAAGCGGCGGAGCAUGCGGAUUAAUUCGAUGCAACGCGUAGAACCUUACCUGGGUUUGACAUGGAUCGGGAGUGCUCAGAGAUGGGUGUGCCUCUUUUGGGGUCGGUUCACAGGUGGUGCAUGGCUGUCGUCAGCUCGUGUCGUGAGAUGUUGGGUUAAGUCCCGCAACGAGCGCAACCCUUGUUCACUGUUGCCAGCACGUUAUGGUGGGGACUCAGUGGAGACCCCCGGGGUCAACUCGGAGGAAGGUGGGGAUGACGUCAAGUCAUCAUCCCCCUUAUGUCCAGGGCUUCACGCAUGCUACAAUGGCUGGUACAGAGAGUGGCGAGCCUGUGAGGGUGAGCGAAUCUCGGAAAGCCGGUCUCAGUUCGGAUUGGGGUCUGCAACUCGACCUCAUGAAGUCGGAGUCGCUAGUAAUCGCAGAUCAGCAACGCUGCGGUGAAUACGUUCCCGGG
rnacentral:rRNA from 1 species